CCACCCCUACGGGGCGCAGCAGUGGGGAAUAUUGGGCAAUGGGCGCAAGCCUGACCCAGCAAUGCCGCGUGAAGGAAGAAGGCUUUCGGGUUGUAAACUUCUUUGACAGGGGAAGAGCAGAAGACGGUACCCUGAAAACAAGCCACGGCUAACUACGUGCCAGCAGCCGCGGUAAUACGUAGGGGGCGAGCGUUAUCCGGAUUUACUGGGUGUAAAGGGAGCGUAGACGGUUCUGCAAGUCUGAAGUGAAAGCCCGUGGCUUAACCGCGGAACGGCUUUGGAAACUGUGGAACUGGAGUGCUGGA
rnacentral:rRNA from 1 species